UACGUAGGGGGCGAGCGUUGUCCGGAAUUAUUGGGCGUAAAGAGCUCGUAGGUGGUUUGUUACGUCUGCUGUGAAAACCUAGGGCUUAACCCUGAGCCUGCUUCCGAUACGGGCAGACUAGAGGUAUGCAGGGGAGAACGGAAUUCCUGGUGUAGCGGUGAAAUGCGCAGAUAUCAGGAGGAACACCGGUGGCGAAGGCGGUUCUCUGGGCAUUACCUGACGCUGAGGAGCGAAAGUGUGGGGAGCGAACAGG
rnacentral:rRNA from 1 species